GAUAAGGUUUCCCUGUGUAACGCUGGCUUUCCUAGUAUUAGUUCCGUGAGUAGGCUGGCCUCCUACCCUUUAGUCCCUCUCAAGUGCUGGAAUUAAAGAUACAACGUUACCAGCCAUCUUAUGCUCGCUACAGCAUCGCUGCCAGGAUGGACAAUUCCUAUAAAGGACUAACCAAAGCAAACGUUCCUUCCAUUGAAUUGCUACUAGUCAGCUUAGUAAACAUCAACUCUUAGAGGCAGUGAAAGAAGUUUUCCUUGAAAAGACACUUCAAAUUCAGGUCUCUCAAAUUAAAAAGUGAACACCAAGUUCAAAUUUGACAUCAAAAAAAUUCCGUCUUAGUUAUGGCUUUACUGCUGUGAACAGACCCCAUGACCAAGGCAACUCUUAUAAGGACAACAUUUAAUUGGGGGCUGGCUUACAGAUUUAGAGGUUCAGUCCAGUAUCAUCAAGGCAAGAACAUGGCAGCAUCCAGGCAGGCAUGCUGCAGGAGGAACUGAGAGUUCUACAUCUUCAUCUGAAGGCUGCUAGGAGAAGACUCACUUCCAGGCAGUUAGGGAAGAGCCCACACCCACCGUGACACACCUACUCCAACAAGGCUACACCUCCUAAUAGUGUGAACAA
ensembl:lncRNA